UCCCAAAGUGCUGGGAUUACAGCCAUUAGAACCUGUAUCUUUAGCAGGCACCCCAGGUGACACUUGUGCUGAGCAUGUUAGAGACACUGGCCAGAAGGUGGAGGGAAGGUGGGAGUGGCAGCUCCUCCUUCACUGUGGAGGAAAUGUCUGUUCUCUCUUUGUGAAGCCCUGAUUACCUCCCACCUCCCACAGCCAGGUCUGGCCACACAGCAGUACAGCCACUAGCGUGGGCCCAGUAAGUGCCCGGCUUGGCAGUAAAUGGACCCAGUAAGUGGGUCCGUCAUGUUGUACUUGGCACCCAGCAAGCUGCCCACAUCAUUUGGUAUUCUCAACUGUGGAAAUACCCAGAAGAUGUUAGGAAAAUGUUGACCUUGCUCAAACUCAACAGGGCUGGGUCCUGAACUUCACCUGAACGUCACAGGGUGUCCCUGCCCACCAACAUUCAGCUGCUGUUGACUCUUUUUUGCUUAGAGACUCGGUGAGUCUCUGUGGUGUUUUGUAUCCUUACCUCCAAUCUCCCAAGAAAGUAGAGAUGCUAUCCAAGGGCUGAUGAUAUGCAGGUGGUCAUUCAAAGAUGUGCACCUGAAUUCUCACUCAUCUUGCACCAAUAAGGUUUAUGCAACCUGCUGCAGUGAGUCACGCCACUCCCACCCCUGCCCCACCCCCACAAGCCCAGGAGAUAUAGAGAGGCUAAACACCAGAGCUUGCAAAACAGAGUGCAGUUUAAACAGGAUCUUGCAUCCUAAACAAAAAUGUUCCAGCUCCACCCCAUGUAAUUUUGUGACGAGUAGUUUAGGGAGAUUCCCUUCAAAGAAGUUCCAGAAACUGGAGGGAAAUUUGAGAGGUCAGAAGACGGGGGAAGAGGACGAAGGGCUGUUUUUGCCGGAAAGUUCUUUUGCAGGGCAAUCAUGACUGUAAAACAGAGAGGAAGGAUAAUUCAGUCUCAUGCAGCAGGCGUGGAGCCCGUGAGCCCUCUUUGUCCUACAUUGAACCAAGGGGUGGGGUGGGGACUCAGGUGCCAACCCGGCUCGCACACACACUGGUGGGCUCUGUUUUUGAAUCCAUAAAAAUGGGAGGAAAGUGUCCUUUCUACUCCCUGCACGGGGAGAUGGGAGGAAAGUGUCCUUUCUACUCCCUGCACGGGGGAGAUGGGAGGAAAGUGUCCUUUCUACUCCCUGCACGGGGAGAUGGGAGGAAAGUGUCCUUUCUACUCCCUGCACGGGGAGAUGAGAGGACUGGCGUGGAUGAAGCUGGCUUCCCCGGCAUCACCAGGCCACCAUCCAGGCCAGCCCAGUGACGGGCCAGGAGCCAGAACCUUCCCUCUCCAGGCGUUGGAUUUUAUUGGGAGACCCAGCUGGAGGAGCAGGAGGACUUGAUGGGCAUGAACGCUAUCCUGAGAUUCCUGGAACAGAUGUAGUGUCAUAUGAAAGUAGCUGUGAUUUCUAACUGGUGACCAAGUACCAGAGAAUCUGACUCAGGUUCAUGAAAAAUCGGAACUUUCUCUGGUGCGAGCUUUGCUUAUAACUUUGGCAUAGGGGACCAGGAAAGUCUCACGGAUGCAAAGAGACAUCGAAUGUUUUCAGUUCAUCCACGUCGGAGUGUGGGCCAGCACUUCAUCCCUUGCCAUGGCUGAGGAAUAGUCCAUCACGUGGACAGACAACAAUUUAUUUCUCCAUGCAUCAGGUGACAGACAUUUGGGUGGUUCCCACCUGACUCACUUCAUGAAAGAAUAUCUCUGGGCCCCAUGUGGAGGCUCAAAAGAGCAGAGCUGGGAGACCAGGGAGGAUGUAGCUGCAGGAAUCCCAGGAAUGCAGGUGAGGGCUGGAGGCGGUUGCCCUGCAGGUGAGUGAUGGGAGAGGCCAGAGGGGCCAGCGAGGUGUGGGUCUGGAGCCAGCAGAUCAUGUUUUCUGUCUGUCCUUCCUCCACGACGAUGUACUCUUUAGGAGCCGAGUGACGAUGACCUGUGGAUGAGCAGCCUGGGAUGCCCCUGUCCCCAGCCUCUUCAACCUGACACAAGUUUGCAUUCUAUGCUCUCUUUCUUUGGAACAAGGAUUGACUCCUAAGUGGCAUCUGGAGAAGGCCGAGCUUCCUGCAGGGACCUGAAGAGGGUUUUUAGAAACAGAAACGGAGUCAUCAGAUUGCUCACAGUGGCCAAAUCUUGCCCUAAAGUCAAAGCUCUGAAGCACUGCACUAAAGAGCUCUUGGAACACCCGUGGAUUCCCAAGGAAAGGAAUGGAUAAAGUUAAGCCAUGAUGACCUUGUUGAAUCCAGCCAUUCUGCAAGUGCCUGUUUUGACUUUAGGGAUGGAAGUCCUUCCAGGCAUGCCAAGAGGGAAGGAAACAUGGCAGGUGCACUGGCUUUGAAGUUGCCGUGGUGGUUGCAAUCCUGCAUCUGUCUGUUCCUGAUGGGGUGAC